rnacentral:rRNA from 1 species
GACGAACGCUGGCGGCGUGCCUAAUACAUGCAAGUAGAACGCUGAAGAGAGGAGCUUACUCUUCUUGGAUGAGUUGCGAACGGGUGAGUAACGCGUAGGUAACCUGCCUUGUAGCGGGGGAUAACUAUUGGAAACGAUAGCUAAUACCGCAUAACAAUGGAUGACACAUGUCAUUUAUUUGAAAGGGGCAAUUGCUCCACUACAAGAUGGACCUGCGUUGUAUUAGCUAGUAGGUGAGGUAAUGGCUCACCUAGGCGACGAUACAUAGCCGACCUGAGAGGGUGAUCGGCCACACUGGGACUGAGACACGGCCCAGACUCCUACGGGAGGCAGCAGUAGGGAAUCUUCGGCAAUGGGGGCAACCCUGACCGAGCAACGCCGCGUGAGUGAAGAAGGUUUGCGGAUCGUAAAGCUCUGUUGUAAGUCAAGAACGGGUGUGAGAGUGGAAAGUUCACACUGUGACGGUAGCUUACCAGAAAGGGACGGCUAACUACG